GACGAAGGAUUCAAGCGUUAUCCGGAUUCAUUGGGUUUAAAGGGAGCGUAGGUGGCCUUAUAAGUCAGUGGUGAAAUCUCUCGGCUUAACCGAGAAAUUGCCAUUGAUACUGUAGGGCUUGAGUACAGUUGCUGUGGGCGGAAUAUGACAUGUAGUGGUGAAAUACAUAGAGAUGUCAUAGAACACCGAUUGCGAAGGCAGCUCACAAAACUGUAACUGACACUGAGGCUCGAAAGUGCGGGGAUCAAACAGG
rnacentral:rRNA from 1 species